UGCAGUCGAGCGGUAGCACAGAGAGCUUGCUCUCGGGUGACGAGCGGCGGACGGGUGAGUAAUGUCUGGGAAACUGCCUGAUGGAGGGGGAUAACUACUGGAAACGGUAGCUAAUACCGCAUAAUGUCCCAAGACCAAAGUGGGGGACCUUCGGGCCUCAUGCCAUCAGAUGUGCCCAGAUGGGAUUAGCUAGUAGGUGGGGUAACGGCUCACCUAGGCGACGAUCCCUAGCUGGUCUGAGAGGAUGACCACCCACACUGGAACUGAGACACGGUCCAGACUCCUACGGGAGGCAGCAGUGGGGAAUAUUGCACAGUGGGCGCAAGCCUGAUGCAGCCAUGCCGCGUGUGUGAAGAAGGCCUUCGGGUUGUAAAGCACUUUCAGCGGGGAGGAAGGCGAUGAGGUUAAUAACCUUGUCGAUUGACGUUACCCGCAAAAGAAGCACCGGCUAACUCCGUGCCAGCACCCGCGGUAAUACGGAGGGUGCAAGCGUUAAUCGGAAUUACUGGGCGUAAAGCGCACGCAGGCGGUCUGUCAAGUCAGAUGUGAAAUCCCCGGGCUCAACCUGGGAACUGCAUUCGAAACUGGCAGGCUAGAGUCUUGUAGAGGGGGGUAGAAUUCCAGGUGUAGCGGUGAAAUGCGUAGAGAUCUGGAGGAAUACCGGUGGCGAACGCGGCCCCCUGGACAAAGACUGACGCUCACGUGCGAAAGCGUGGGGAGCAAACAGAGAUUAUAUACCCUGGUAGUCCACGCCGUACACGAUGUCGAUUUGGAGGUUGUGCCCUUGAGGCGUGGCUUCCGGAGCUAACGCGUUAAAUCGACCGCCUGGGGAGUACGGCCGCAAGGUUAAAACUCAGAUGAAUUGACGGCGGCCCGCACAGCGGUGGAGCAUGUGUUUUUAUUCGAUGCACGCGAAGAACCUUACCUGGUCUUGACAUCCACAGAACUUUCAGAUAUAGAUUGCUGCCUUCAGGAACUGUGAGACAGGUGCUGCAUGGCUGUCGUCAGCUCGUGUU
rnacentral:rRNA from 1 species